UGGGGAAUUUUGGACAAUGGGCGCAAGCCUGAUCCAGCCAUGCCGCGUGCGGGAAGAAGGCCUUCGGGUUGUAAACCGCUUUUGUCAGGGAAGAAAUCCUUUGAGCUAAUACCUCGGGGGGAUGACGGUACCUGAAGAAUAAGCACCGGCUAACUACGUGCCAGCAGCCGCGGUAAUACGUAGGGUGCAAGCGUUAAUCGGAAUUACUGGGCGUAAAGCGUGCGCAGGCGGUGAUGUAAGACAGGUGUGAAAUCCCCGGGCUUAACCUGGGAAUUGCAUUUGUGACUGCAUCGCUGGAGUGCGGCAGAGGGGGAUGGAAUUCCACGUGUAGCAGUGAAAUGCGUAGAGAUGUGGAGGAACACCGAUGGCGAAGGCAGCCCCCUGGGCCAAUACUGACGCUCAUGCACGAAAGCGUGGGGAGCAAACA
rnacentral:rRNA from 1 species